GGGGAAUUAUGUAAAAAUUACUAACGAAUUGCACAUUGAGGCCAAAAUAUCCAAUUUGAUAUUUUUUUUUUAUUACUUUUUCCCAGACAGUUCACUAUCUCACAUUUAGUGAAUAAAUCACACAUGUAUUUCUAUCCACAAAAUAUCGUAAGAAGGUCCACAGUGGUCACCAAAUUGUAUUGAUGGUCCAUAUUGCUCCACAAACAGGUAAAUCCCAAGGCAAUAUUGGAGCCACCAUUUCUGACACUUCCCGUAGGAUUCACUCGCACUUCCAGGAUAUCUUGUAGCAAUCCAGCAAAGAACGGACAUUAUAGUACGUUACAAAAAUGAGGACAGGACUUGGGGCCUGCUUUAUUAACGCCCUAAUCAGAGGAAAAUAGCUACGCCUGCUGGAAAACAUCACUUGAGGCAUAAAGGAAUAAUUGUAUUGAUUGUACAAAAAAGCCAACAUAUUCUGUAGCGCAGUGCAAUAGGUAAGUGGAAUAUACAAAUGAUUGCGAAAUUACAAG